rnacentral:rRNA from 1 species
ACUCAAAGGAAUUGACGGGGACCCGCACAAGCGGUGGAGCGUGUUGUUUAAUUCGAUGGUAAGCGAAGAACCUUACCCAGGCUUGACAUCCUGCGAAUUUUUUCGAAAGAAAGAAGUGCUUUAUUGAGCGCAGUGACAGGUGUUGCAUGGCCGUCGUCAGCUCGUGUCGUGAGACGUUUGGUUAAGUCCAAUAACGAGCGCAACCCCUUUGUUUAGUUGUAUUUCUCUAAACAGACUGCCCUGGUAACAGGGAGGAAGGAGGGGUCGAAGUCAGGUCAGUAUUACCCUUACGUCUGGGGCUACAAACACGCUACAAUGGCCGGUACAAAGGGCAGCCAACCCGCGAGGGGGAGCAAAUCCCAUCAAAGCCGGUCUCAGUUCGGAUUGCAGGCUGAAACUCGCCUGCAUGAAGCUGGAAUCGCUAGUAACGGUAGGUCAGCACACUACCGUGAAUACGUUCCCGGGUCUUGUACACACCGCCCGU